rnacentral:rRNA from 1 species
GGAUAACCUGCCCAAAGGUCUGGGAUAACCCCGGGAAACUGGGGAUAAUACCGGAUGGAUCACUACUGCUGGAAUGCUUGGUGGUCGAAAGGCAACGCCUUUGGAUGGGUCUGCGGCGGAUUAGGUUGACGCCGGUGUAACGUACCGGCGUGCCUGUAAUCCGUACGGGUUGUGGGAGCAAGAGCCCGGAGAUGGAUUCUGAGACACGAAUCCAGGCCCUACGGGGCGCAGCAGGCGCGAAAACUCUGCAAUGCAGGCAACUGCGACAGGGGGACAUCGAGUGGCAUCCACCUUGGGUGCCUGUCCAACCGUCUAAAAAACGGUUGUUAGCAAGGGCCGGGUAAGACCGGUGCCAGCCGCCGCGGUAAUACCGGCGGCUCGAGUGGUGGCCGAUAUUAUUGAGUCUAAAGGGUCCGUAGCCGGCUUUGCAAGUCCCCUGGGAAAUCCAGCGGCUUAACCGUUGGGCUUUCAUGGGAUACUACAUUGCUUGGGACUGGGAGAGGUAGGAGGUACUCGAGGGGUAGGGGUGAAAUCCUGUAAUCCUUCGGGGACCACCGGUGGCGAAGGCGUCCUACCAGAACAGGUCCGACGGUGAGGGACGAAAGCUAGGGGCACGAACCGGAUUAGAUACCCGGGUAGUCCUAGCCGUAAACGAUGCCCGCUAGGUGUCACGACGGUCGUGAAUCGUCGUGGUGCCGUAGGGAAGCCGCGAAGCGGGCCACUUGGGAAGUACGACCGCAAGGUUGAAACUUAA